CAAUAGCGUAUAUUAUAGUUGUUGCAGUUAAAAAGCUCGUAGUUGGAUUUCGGUUGAGAACGGCCGGUCCGCCGUUUGGUGUGCACUGGCUGGUCUCAACUUCCUGUAGAGGACGCGCUCUGGGUUAACGCUCGGACGCGGAGUCUACGUGGUUACUUUGAAAAAUUAGAGUGUUCAAAGCGGGCUUACGCUUGAAUAUUUCAGCAUGGAAUAACACUAUAGGACUCCUGUCCUAUUUCGUUGGUCUCGGGACGGGAGUAAUGAUUAAUAGGGACAGUUGGGGGUAUUCGUAUUUCGUUGUCAGAGGUGAAAUUCUUGGAUUUCCGAAAGACGAACUACUGCGAAAGCAUUUACCAAGGAUGUUUUCAUUAAUCAAGAACGAAAGUUAGGGGAUCGAAGACGAUUAGAUACCAU
rnacentral:rRNA from 1 species